UUCUUUUUGAAGCUUGCCGCCUCAGCAGUCAGCGACUCUUAACUCCUUGUCCUGUAGAAGGCCUGAACAUGUCUGAAUGCUCAAAAAUUCACUGCUGUCCUUUCAGAAUUGGCCAGGAGGAGCAGUGCUACAUGCCAGUGAGAGAUGAUGUGCAGCUGGCCAUUCGAGUGGUUUUGCUUACUGGAGGAGGAUUUUUGAUUUUGGGACUUCUACCAAUCUGCUGCUGUGCCUUUUUGCAGAGAAGUCCGUGUAUCAAUCCUUUACAAAAGAUAAGCAAACAAGUACAAAAAAUUGCAUGGGAAAAAAGAGCUGGUGUUAAAAAGACUCAUGAUGAAGAGAUUCAUCGCCACUUACUGGACUGACUUAAAGAACCAAAAGGACAAAAAAAGAAGGUAAACUAACUUUGGGGUAUUCUUUUGUUCUAAGUUUAGGGUUGUUCCUUUGAGUCUGUGUAGAAUACUAAAGAUAUCCACUACCAAAUACCUGCUGCCUGCCAGUGCAGUAGAAUUGUCCAA
rnacentral:lncRNA from 1 species